rnacentral:rRNA from 1 species
GGAGGGGUGCAAGCGUUAAUCGGAAUUACUGGGCGUAAAGCGCGCGUAGGGUGGUUUGGUAAGUCGGGGUGUGAAAGCCCCGGGGCUCAACCUGGGAACUGCAUUCGAUACUGCCUGACUAGAGUGUGGUAGAGGGAAGUGGAAUUCCGCAUGUAGCGGUGAAAUGCGUAGAGAUGCGGAGGAACACCAAUGGCGAAGGCAACUUCCUGGACCAACACUGACACUGAGGUGCGAAAGCGUGGGUAGCAAACAGGAUUAGAUACCCUGGUAGUCCACGCCGUAAACGAUGUCAACUAGCCGUUGGGGGCGUUUGGCCCCUAGUGGCGCAGCUAACGCGAUAAGUUGACCGCCUGGGGAGUACGGUCGCAAGAUUA